rnacentral:rRNA from 1 species
GACGAACCGUGCGAACGUUAUUCGGAAUCAUUGGGCUUAAAGGGCGCGUAGGCGGCGGCGUAAGUUGGAAGUGAAAUCCCAUCGGCUCAACCGUGGAAUCGCUCCCAGUACUGCGUCGCUCGAGGGGGAUAGGGGUCUGCGGAACUACCGGUGGAGCGGUGAAAUGUGUUGAUAUCGGUGGGAACACCAGUGGCGAAGGCGGCUCACUGGCCCGGUACUGACGCUGAGGUGCGAAAGCGUGGGGAGCAAACAGG